rnacentral:rRNA from 1 species
AUUGAACGCUGGCGGCAUGCCUUACACAUGCAAGUCGAACGGCAGCGGGGGAGAAGCUUGCUUUUCCUGCCGGCGAGUGGCGAACGGGUGAGUAAUACAUCGGAACGUGCCCUGUAGUGGGGGAUAACUAGUCGAAAGAUUAGCUAAUACCGCAUACGACCUGAGGGUGAAAGUGGGGGACCGCAAGGCCUCAUGCUAUAGGAGCGGCCGAUGUCAGAUUAGCUAGUUGGUGGGGUAAAGGCCUACCAAGGCGACGAUCAGUAGCUGGUCUGAGAGGACGAUCAGCCCAACUGGGGAUGAGACACGGCCCAGACUCCUACGGGAGGCAGCAGUGGGGAAUUUUGGACAAGGGGCGAAAGCCUGAUCCAGCAAUGCCGCGUGUGUGAAGAAGGCCUUCGGGUUGUAAAGCACUUCUGUCCGGAAAGAAAUGGCUCUGGUUAAUACCUGGGGUCGAUGACGGUACCGGAAGAAUAAGGACCGGCUAACUACGUGCCAGCCGCCGCGGUAA